CACAAUUAAUUCCUCUAUCAUUUCUUUAUAACGUUUUGCCUAUUCUUUUUGUUUAAUUUUUUGUGUGUGUAAUGUACAGUACAAGUCCAAAAAUAUAUGCAAUUUUCAGAAAAAUUGCAUGUUUACAUCAUACAAAUUUGGCCAAUACACAUCCAUACCCCUAUAGGCAAGUCAAGAGAUGAUCCGAAAAGUGUAAAUAUUACCUUUUUGCACCUGGCCUAAUCACUCUUUCCUUAUUAAAAUCAGUUAAAAUAAAACAUCUAAAAGUUUAUUUCAGCUCUCUUCUUACAUUUCCACCCCAGAAAAGCUAAGAAAUGAAUGAGAAAGGGAAAGAAGAAAAAUAAAGAAAAAAUACACUAUAAUUAAAGGGAACUAUAUUCGUGAACAACGAAAAGCGGGGUCAUUAAUUGUGGUCUUGGGCCAUAAAUCU
rnacentral:lncRNA from 1 species